rnacentral:lncRNA from 1 species
GCGCCGGUCACAAUCCUAAAUUGGGUCGUGACAUUAUGUUACUAUAUUCUUGCUUUGUGUUGAUCGUCAACUCCCACUUUUAGAUGUUGUCAUUGCUUCAGAAGUUUUCAUAUGUUAUGUGCAUGUAUGUGGUAUACUGGCAUACAAUAUACAAUCACUUGGUACGUUGACUCUGAUGUGUUAAUUUACUACGUGAACUAACUCUAUUGAUUACUUUAGUUAAUUCUCUGCAAUUUGUUGAUAUGGUUGUGCGUCACUGCUGUUUCUAGCUUCUUGUUUUGUUGGCACAGAAAAUUAGGUGAUAUCAUAUCGAUCUCCAGUAACUGUAGAGCUAUGAUACCUUUUACAUUUUUAGCUAGGGAAACAUAGAAAAUCUCUAAUCUUUGAUACCUGAACUCUGUUUUUGUUUAGUCUUCUUGUUUUUGGAAGUGUUCACCAGUUAUUGUUCCUUGGCAGAGUGAGUAGUAAGACGAGACAUUGUUUUUCCAGUUAUUCAAUAGCAAGAUACUUACAGUUAUUCAUUCGAAGACAUCAAGACUAUCUGGAAUAGCUACUCUCCUUGAAUGCCCUGUUUUUCCUCCCUCUUUACUGAUGAAAGUAUUACAAGUUUCAUUGUAAUUAUACAACUCUUGGUUUCCUCCUUGGUUAAUUUCUCUAGCAAUAUUUGAUCAAUGAAUUGACUUGUCAUGAUUUUAGCAUCUGUAGACAUAUAUUAUAUACUGUAUAGUGUGGAGUAUAUUAAGUGAUGCCAGGGACUGUACGAAAGGUGCUUCUAGGAUAAAAAUGAUUAGAAGGAAGAGAAGGGGAGGACGGAAGAAGUAGCUCCUUUAGUACUAUGUGGACAAUGAAAAGAGAGAGAGAGAUGUUUGAUGGAGUACAAAUUUUGUUGUAUAGAUUAGUGGAACAUUUUUGUUCUUUCGAUGUUCUUGGAGCACUUCUAAUAUUCUAGUUAGCGUUGAUGACUGGAUGCUGCUAUUCGUAAAGAAACAUGCCUUCUUGUAGGAUUUUUUGUAAAUAUUUUUGUUCUUCAGAUAUUCACGGAGUGCUUCUAAUAUUCCAGUUAGUGUUGAUGCUAUCAGUAAAGAAAUAUGCUUUGUUAUAGGAUUUCUACCUUUUGCAUACAUCUUCUAUGUUGGAUUUUCCCACUAAAUCAAUAAAAUUUAACUCAUAAAAAGAGAUUAUGAGAAACUUACAAAUAUUUUUUUUAUUAUUCUGCAGGGGUUGCCUUAACUUUGUAGAGACAAACCUCUCGUGAACUCGGCUAUCUAGUUUGCACGAAAGACGCCCUGUUUGCCCCCUUUUUUGCGAACCUCAGAGAUGGAUGAAAACUUUAUCAUCUUUUUUAGUUAAUAGGUAGCGUGUAUGUAGUUUCUGCCCUGGCUGUUUUACAACCAUCUGAUGUUUAUACUGGAAGGUUCUAGUUCUGAUUAUCUGACUAGUUGAUCAGAUUGUUCAACCAAUUUCUAUCGCUCAUUGCACUCAUCAGUUGGUACGUGAAUACUCUAAUGGUGAAUACUGAAAUCCUUUGUGUAUGAUACUUUUUUGAAUUUUCUUUUGCUUCAUAACAUCUUUAUUUGUGUUCCCUGCUGAGUUUUUUCUUCACUCAAUUUCUGUCCUUUUCUAUAUCUUUUUGGUAAAUGAUUCUUCGCAUAUGUGAAUUCUCUGGUCUGACUAUGACCAAAAUGCAUGUUGUCUUUAAAUUUGCCAAGUUUACAAUUGGGAAUGUGUGAAUUGCAGUUUUUGUCCUUACACUCAAAGGAGCUGUCAAUAAGUUCACAUUGAUGCUUUGCGACUUGUUGUCAAUUAGUUUUAGUCCUUACAGCUGCUGUGAUGCCUUAUGAAGACAAAUAUUUUUCGUGACC